UACGAAGGGGGCUAGCGUUGCUCGGAAUCACUGGGCGUAAAGGGUGCGUAGGCGGGUCUUUAAGUCAGGGGUGAAAUCCUGGAGCUCAACUCCAGAACUGCCUUUGAUACUGAAGAUCUUGAGUUCGGGAGAGGUGAGUGGAACUGCGAGUGUAGAGGUGAAAUUCGUAGAUAUUCGCAAGAACACCAGUGGCGAAGGCGGCUCACUGGCCCGAUACUGACGCUGAGGCACGAAAGCGUGGGGAUCAAAUGGG
rnacentral:rRNA from 1 species